GUGACCCUUCAGUCCUCAGGCCGACACUCUAUCCACUGAGCCAAACCACCUAGGGCUCUGGUAGUUUCCUAAAUCAUCAUACAUUUAUUUACCUGUUGUUUGCUAUUCCUUGUAGUUAAAGUGUAUUAUUUCUCCCCAUUUGGCUUUAUGUCAUAACAUAGUGUAAGAAUAGGUUUAACUGUAGGAAAGCAAUUACAUUGCCAGAAAGUUGCAGAGCUCACCUUGGUGAACUGAUUUUUCUGGUAAUCAUUGUUAUUAGUUCUGUUACUUGGGUUUAUGGACCAGAGUAUGAAUUUAAAAUGUUAAGGAUAUAUGAAGUAGCUUCAUAGGAGAGUUUGGCAAUCAUGUGUAGGGUUUCUCUAAUUUUCCAGUGAAAUUCCCUUAGUGACAAAGAGAGCCUACACCCGGUUAAAGGAAGGCACCUAUAAGUCAGAGCAGCUCUCUGUAAACCUGAAAUUUCUUGAAAAUACUGGGUUGUGCCUUAAACACUUGUUAAAAAUCUCUAUAUAUUCUUUUUUUCCUCCUUCCCUUCCCUCUUCCAUUCCUUCCAUCUCCAGUCGUCACAAACCAGUUAAAGAUCCAGACACAUAUGUCACUUGAGAGGAACACCAUGUGGCCUCAUUUUACUGUGGAGGUGGUUGGUCUGUGUCCCCAGAGCUCUGUGGACAAGCAUAUUUUACUGAGAGCCCUGGCAGCCACGAAUCUGCUGCUUCUGUCUCUGUGGAUAUGUUUAUUCUGGAAUCAUAUGAAUGGAAUCAUAGAUGGCCUCUCAAGAUCUUUUAAAGCAGGAAGAAAAGAUGAAUUAAAGUUUGAAUUGAAUCUAUGUAUUAUAGUUUGAAAAUUAACAAUCCAGCUAUGGCAACA